UACAGAGGGGGCAAGCGUUAUUCGGAAUUAUUGGGCGUAAAGCGUGCGUAGGCGGUUGGCAAAGUCAGCUGUGAAAGCCCCGGGCUCAACCUGGGAAUGGCGGUUGAAACUAGUCGACUCGAAUCUGGCAGAGGGGGGUGGAAUUCCACGUGUAGCAGUGAAAUGCGUAGAGAUGUGGAGGAACACCGAUGGCGAAGGCAGCCCCCUGGGCUGAGAUUGACGCUCAGGCACGAAAGCGUGGGGAGCAAACAGG
rnacentral:rRNA from 1 species